rnacentral:rRNA from 1 species
UACGAAGGGUGCAAGCGUUACUCGGAAUUACUGGGCGUAAAGCGUGCGUAGGUGGUUUGUUAGGUCUGAUGUGAAAGCCCUGGGCUCAACCUGGGAAUUGCAUUGGAUACUGGCAGGCUAGAGUGCGGUAGAGGAUGGCGGAAUUCCCGGUGUAGCAGUGAAAUGCGUAGAGAUCGGGAGGAACAUCUGUGGCGAAGGCGGCCAUCUGGACCAGCACUGACACUGAGGCACGAAAGCGUGGGGAGCAAACAGG